rnacentral:rRNA from 1 species
AAGACCUUGCGCUUUUGGAGCGGCCGAUGCCUGAUUAGCUUGUUGGUAAGGUAAAAGCUUACCAAGGCUUCGAUCAGUAGCUGGUCUGAGAGGACGGCCAGCCACACUGGGACUGAGACACGGCCCAGACUCCUACGGGAGGCAGCAGUGGGGAAUUUUGGGCAAUGGGGGCAACCCUGAUCCAGCCAUGCCGCGUGAGUGAAGAAGGCCUUCGGGUUGUAAAGCUCUUUCAGCCGGAACGAAACGGUUACGGUUAAUACCCGUGAUUACUGACGGUACCGGAAGAAGAAGCACCGGCUAACUACGUGCCAGCAGCCGCGGUAAUACGUAGGGUGCGAGCGUUAAUCGGAAUUACUGGGCGUAAAGCGUGCGCAGGUGGUUUUGUAAGUCAGAUGUGAAAGCCCCGGGCUCAACCUGGGAACU